CCUACGGGCGGCAGCAGUGAGGAAUAUUGGUCAAUGGCCGGAAGGCUGAACCAGCCAUGCCGCGUGAAGGUCAGUGCCCUAUGGGCGUUAAACUUCUUUUGUGCGGGAGCAAUAAUGGUCAAGUGUGGCCAGACGAGAGUACCGUACGAAUAAGCAUCGGCUAACUCAGUGCCAGCAGCCGCGGUAAUACGGGGGAUGCAAGCGUUAUACGGAUUUAUUGGGGUUAAAGGGUGCGUAGGCUGUGAGGUAAGUCAGCGGUGAAAUGCCCCCGCUCAACGGGGUGAAGUGCCAUUGAUACUGCCUUGCUGGAAUGCGGAUGCCGUGGGAGGAAUGUGUGGUGUAGCGGUGAAAUGCAUAGAUAUCACACAGAACACCGAUUGCGAAGGCAUCUCACGAAUCCGCGAUUGACGCUGAUGCACGAAAGCGUGGGUAUCAAACAGGAUUAGAUACCCUAGUAGUC
rnacentral:rRNA from 1 species